rnacentral:rRNA from 1 species
CGGGGGGCUGCAGUGAGGGAUAUUGCGCAAUGGGCGAAAGCCUGACGCAGCAACGCCGCGUGGGCGAUGAAGGCCUUCGGGUUGUAAAGCCCUUUUCUGGGGGAAGAGGAAGGACGGUACCCCAGGAAUAAGUCCCGGCUAACUACGUGCCAGCAGCCGCGGUAAAACGUAGGGGACAAGUGUUAUCCGGAUUCACUGGGCGUAAAGCGCGUGCAGGUGGUGCUUUAAGUUGGGCGUGAAAUCUUCCGGCUUAACUGGGAGGAGUCGUUCAAUACUGAAGCACUUGAGGGCAGGAGAGGGAGGUGGAAUUCCCGGUGUAGUGGUGAAAUGCGUAGAUAUCGGGAGGAACACCAGUGGCGAAGGCGGCCUCCUGGCCUGCUCCUGACACUAAGACGCGAAAGCUAGGGGAGCGAACGGGAUUAGAUACCCUAGUAGUC